GGGUCUGUAGCUCAGUUGGUAAAGGUGUUGGCUCGCAAGCAGUAGAUUGCAGGUUCAAUCCCUGGUACUCAGAUCUC